rnacentral:rRNA from 1 species
GGGAGUGAAAGACAUGGAAGUGCACACGUUAGAUAACUCUGUGCAGUUACACUUUUACACUUUUGGCCCCCAAUCAAGCAAGGCUACCCGCUGAACUUAAGCAUAUCAAUAAGCGGAGGAAAAGAAACCAACAGGGAUUGCCCUAGUAACGGCGAGUGAACAGGCAAGAGCUCAGAUUUGAAAGCCUCUCGGGGCAUUGUAUUCUGAAGCCUUGAUUCUGAGAAACGGUACCUAAGUCUUCUGGAAAGGAGCGCCAAGGAGGGUGAUAGCCCCGUACGGUACUGACCUCAUUGUAGAAUCUUGGCGUGGAGUCGAGUUGUUUGGGAAUGCAGCUCAAAUGGGUGGUAUGCUCCAUCUAAAGCUAAAUAUCUGCGAGAGACCGAUAGCGAACAAGUACUGUGAAGGAAAGAUGAAAAGAACUUUGAAAAGAGAGUGAAAAAGUACGUGAAAUUGUUGAAAUGGAAGGAUAGGCCGCUAACCACGUAGAGCCGUGUCUGAGGGGAGGAUAAAAGCUGUAGAAUGUGACUCCUCGGAGUGUUAUAGCUACAGUGCAUACUCCCACUCGGGCGCGAG